AAGAGUUUAUGGUCUCAAUCGCUAGUUUUAAGUCUUCUGCAACACAGAAUGAUGUUCAUUUUUUGACUUAUGGUCUCGUUGAUUUUAAAAUCGGCGAUAAAGCAGGGGGUGUUUUAGGGCGUGGCUAUGAUGUGAUUGACACUUCGCGGCCUGUCAAUCAUGACAGGUUUAGCAAAGCUUAUCCAUGGCACGUAAACUUCAUUUUGGGGGUUGACUACGGUUUCAUCAUAGUGACUGUGACACUUUGGUCGGCUAAUAAUGUCUUGUUCAGCGUUCGGUUACGACAUGACACUCAAAGGAGUCGGCAGUUCAGUUUUUCCGAUUUCCUUCUGAUGAUGCCAGGCUGAAGCAAUGGUUGGUCAACAUGAGGAGAGAGACCAGCAAAUGGAACCCCGAAAAGUCACGUCUGUGCAGUUCACACUUUGAGGAAGAUCAGUUUUUCAGAGACAAGCAGGUAUCCACACUGAAAACUGAAUGACCAGAGCCUACAGAAGGA